GGGGGUAUGGCGAAAUUGGUAGACGCAACGGACUUAAAAAUCCGUCGACGUGAAAAGUCGUGAGGGUUCAAGUCCCUCUAUCCCCA
rnacentral:tRNA from 3 species